UACGAAGGGGGCGAGCGUUGUUCGGAUUUACUGGGCGUAAAGGGCGCGUAGGCGGCGCUUCGAGUCGAGUGUGAAAGCCCCGGGCUCAACCUGGGAACGGCGCUCGAGACUGGAUCGCUGGAGUUCGGGAGAGGAGCGUGGAAUUCCCAGUGUAGAGGUGAAAUUCGUAGAUAUUGGGAAGAACACCGGUGGCGAAGGCGGCGCUCUGGACCGAGACUGACGCUGAGGCGCGAAAGCGUGGGGAGCAAACAGG
rnacentral:rRNA from 1 species